rnacentral:lncRNA from 1 species
AGAUGCAGCAGCGGCGGCAGCAGCCCUCCCAGGUCCCACUUCUUUGGCGUUCCUGCUGCCUGUGACUCAAGACAAUUGACUUCCACCUGAACCCUCAGCUCCGAACGCCUUGCAUUAGAAGCUAGAGCUUUGGAGGUUCUGAGGACGGUCCCUGGGGAGCAAGUGGUAGGUUUCGAGGCGCCCGCUUCCCCUCUGAUUCCUGCAGUAACUGAGAGAGAGUGUGCCAGAAAUGGCUUUGCUGCCGAAUGCAUUAUCUUGCCAUUUUCGUGUCCCAAUACUGAACAAACGAUCGCCUGAUCGAUCGGCUGUUGUCCAGCUCUAAUGAUGUCCUAGAGCAGAAGUGUUUCUUCUGAUGUCUCAUUUUAACAAGAGGAUGAUGUCUGUGUAUGUCUCUGUGUUUUAGAGAGGCUGGCAAAUGCUGCUAAGAGGAUCUGAGGUUCACAUAAAGAGGAUGAAAAUUCUGAAUUACUUUCAUUGCAAAUAAACCUUAACAAUUGUGAGAGUUAGAGAGCAUACUUUUCACAUAAGACUUUGGUAUGCUGCCUAAAGCUACUUACAUAAUUUGCUAUUCAGAGAAAUGCAUUUGUUUAUUGAGGACCCACCCGGACUUAAAUUGGAAAAAUGUAACAUUCAGAUUUUUAUUUUAUAUGUGAAAUAAAUGUGUGAUUGCUGUUCUUAAAAAUUUGAAAAAAAAA